rnacentral:rRNA from 1 species
AACGAACGCUGGCGGCAUGCCUAAUACAUGCAAGUCGAACGAGAUCUUCGGAUCUAGUGGCGCACGGGUGCGUAACGCGUGGGAAUCUGCCCUUGGGUUCGGAAUAACUUCUGGAAACGGAAGCUAAUACCGGAUGAUGACGUAAGUCCAAAGAUUUAUCGCCCAAGGAUGAGCCCGCGUAGGAUUAGGUAGUUGGUGAGGUAAAGGCUCACCAAGCCGACGAUCCUUAGCUGGUCUGAGAGGAUGAUCAGCCACACUGGGACUGGGACACGGCCCAGACUCCUACGGGAGGCAGCAGUAGGGAAUAUUGGACAAUGGGCGAAAGCCUGAUCCAGCAAUGCCGCGUGAGUGAUGAAGGCCUUAGGGUUGUAAAGCUCUUUUACCCGGGAUGAUAAUGACAGUACCGGGAGAAUAAGCUCCGGUUAACUCCGUG